rnacentral:rRNA from 1 species
GACGUCGGGCGCGAGCGUUGUCCGGAUUUAUUGGGCGUAAAGAGCUCGUAGGCGGCUUGUCGCGUCGUCCGUGAAAACCUGCAGCUCAACUGCAGGCUUGCGGUCGAUACGGGCAGGCUAGAGUUCGGUAGGGGAGACUGGAAUUCCUGGUGUAGCGGUGAAAUGCGCAGAUAUCAGGAGGAACACCAGGGCGAAGGCGACUACCUGGCCUGUUCUUGACGCUGAGGCGCGAAAGCUAGGGGAGCAAACGGG